rnacentral:miRNA from 1 species
CUAUACAGCCCGCUAGCUU